UUAUGGCCAUAUCACAUUGAAACACCAGUUCUCAUAUGAUCACCAGAGUUAAGCAACAUCAAGCCUGGUCAUUACCUAGAUGGGAGACUGGUUGGGAAUAUCAGAUAGUGUA